rnacentral:tRNA from 1 species
CACCAGAUAGCUCAGUUGGUAGAGCUUUAAGGGGCCUGGGUUCGAAUCCCAGUCUUGUCC